UACGUAGGUGGCAAGCGUUGUCCGGAUUUACUGGGCGUAAAGCGCGCGCAGGCGGUUUUUCAAGUCAGUGGUGAAAGCCCGGAGCUCAACUCCGGAACUGCCAUUGAAACUGUAAAACUUGAGGACGAGAGAGGUGAGUGGAAUUCCCAGUGUAGAGGUGAAAUUCGUAGAUAUUGGGAAGAACACCGGUGGCGAAGGCGGCUCACUGGCUCGUAUCUGACGCUCAGGCGCGACAGCGUGGGGAUCAAACAGG
rnacentral:rRNA from 1 species